rnacentral:rRNA from 1 species
GAUGAACGCUGACAGAAUGCUUAACACAUGCAAGUCGAUUCAAGUUACCUUCGGGUAAUGAGGAUGGCGGACGGGUGAGUAACGCGUAAGGAACUUGCCUCUUGGUCUGGGACAACUGUUGGAAACGACAGCUAAUACCGGAUAUUAUGAGAUUCUCGCAUGGGAAACUUAUGAAAGCUAUAUGCGCCAAGAGAGAGCCUUGCGUUCCAUUAGCUAGUUGGUGGGGUAACGGCCCACCAAGGCGACGAUGGAUAGCCGGCCUGAGAGGGUGAACGGCCACAAGGGGACUGAGACACGGCCCUUACUCCUACGGGAGGCAGCAGUGGGGAAUAUUGGNNNNNGNNNNNAAAGUCUGAUCCAGCAAUUCUGUGUGCACGAUGAAGGUCUUCGGAUUGUAAAGUGCUUUCAGUUGGGAAGAAGCAAGUGACGGUACCAACAGAAGAAGCGACGGCUAAAUACGUGCCAGCAGCCGCGGUAAUACGUAUGUCGCANGCGUUAUCCGGAUUUAUUGGGGCGUAAAGCGCGUCUAGGCGGAAAAAUAAGUCUGAUGUUAAAAUGCGGGGCUCAACUCCGUAUUGCGUUGGAAACUGUUUUUCUAGAGUACUGG